GCAAAGUCUGGUGCCAGCAGCCGCGGUAAUUCCAGCUCCAAUAGCGUAUAUUAAAGUUGUUGCAGUUAAGAAGCUCGUAGUUGAAUUUCUGCCUUAUCAUUAAUUUCGCUUCCGAACGUAAUUUUAUUGAUUUGGCAUCUUCUGGAUUAUAUAUUAUUUUUAAUAUAUUUUUCCAGUAUUUUACUUUGAGAAAACUAGAGUGUUUCAAACAGGCUUUUGCCUUGAAUACUACAGCAUGGAAUAAUGAAGUAGGACUAUUGGUUCUAUUUUGUUGGUUAUCGAACCAUAGUAAUGGUUAAUAGGAGCAGUUGGGGGCAUUCGUAUUUAACUGUCAGAGGUGAAAUUCUUAGAUUUGUUAAAGACGAACUACUGCGAAAGCAUUUGCCAAGGAUGUUUUCAUUAAUCAAGAACGAAAGUUAGGGGAUCGAAGACGAUCAGAUACCGUCGUAGUCAC
rnacentral:rRNA from 1 species